rnacentral:rRNA from 1 species
UACGUAGGGUGCAAGCGUUAUCCGGGAUCACUGGGCGUAAAGCGUGCGUAGGCGGAAGCUUAAGUGUGAUGUUAAAUCGUGGAGCUCAACCCCGUCGAUGCAUCGCAUACUGGGCUUCUAGAGGACGGCAGAGGCAAGUGGAACUCGUAGUGUAGCAGUGAAAUGCGUAGAUAUUACGAAGAACACCAAUGGCGAAGGCAGCUUGCUGGGCCGCCCCUGACGCUGAGGCACGAAAGCGUGGGGAGCAAACAGGAUUAGAAC